UACAGAGGUGGCAAGCGUUAAUCGGAAUUACUGGGCGUAAAGCGUGCGUAGUCGGUUAUUUAAGUCGGGUGUGAAAGCCCCGGGCUCAACCUGGGAAUUGCAUUCGAUACUGGAUAGCUAGAGUUCGGCAGAGGGAAGCGGAAUUUCCGGUGUAGCGGUGAAAUGCGUAGAUAUCGGAAGGAACAUCAGUGGCGAAAGCGGCUUCCUGGACCAGAACUGACGAUCAGGCACGAAAGCGUGGGGAGCAAACAGG
rnacentral:rRNA from 1 species